rnacentral:rRNA from 1 species
AGAGUUUGAUCAUGGCUCAGGAUGAACGCUGGCGGCGUGCCUAACACAUGCAAGUCGAGCGAUUCUCUUCGGAGAAGAGCGGCGGACGGGUGAGUAACGCGUGGGUAACCUGCCCUGUACACACGGAUAACAUACCGAAAGGUAUGCUAAUACGAGAUAAUAUACUUUUAUCGCAUGGUAGAAGUAUCAAAGCUCCGGCGGUACAGGAUGGACCCGCGUCUGAUUAGCUAGUUGGUAAGGUAACGGCUUACCAAGGCGACGAUCAGUAGCCGACCUGAGAGGGUGAUCGGCCACAUUGGAACUGAGACACGGUCCAAACUCCUACGGGAGGCAGCAGUGGGGAAUAUUGCACAAUGGGCGAAAGCCUGAUGCAGCAACGCCGCGUGAGCGAUGAAGGCCUUCGGGUCGUAAAGCUCUGUCCUCAAGGAAGAUAAUGACGGUACUUGAGGAGGAAGCCCCGGCUAACUACGUG